GACGAACGCUGGCGGCGUGCCUAAUACAUGCAAGUAGAACGCACAGGUUAUACCCUAGCUUGCUACACCAUAUACUGUGAGUUGCGAACGGGUGAGUGACGCGUACGUAACCUGCCUGGUAGCGGGGGAUAACGAUUGUAAACGUUAUCUAAUACCGCAUAAUAUUAAUUAUUGCAGGAUAAUUAAUUGAAAUGUGCAAUUGCACCACUACCAGAUGGGCCUGCGUUGUAUUAGCUAGUAGGUGAGGUAACGGCUCACCUAGGCGAGGAUACAUAGCCGACCGGAGAGGGUGGUCGGCCGCACAGGGAGGGAGACAGGGACCAGACUCCUACGGGAGGCAGCAGUAGGGAAUCUUCGGAGAUGGACGAAAGUCUGACCGAGCAACGCCGAGUGAGUGAAGAAGGUUGUCGGAUCGUAAAGAUCCGUCGUACGCGAAGAAAGGGUGUGAGAGUGGAAAGUUCACAGUGUGACGGUAGCUGAACAGAAAGGGACGGCUAACUACGUG
rnacentral:rRNA from 1 species